rnacentral:tRNA from 1 species
CAACUGAAUGCUGGCAACUAAAGACGUGGGUUGCGCUCGUUGCGGGACUUAACCCAACAUCUCACGACACGAGC